UCUCUGGUGGUCCAGUGACUAAGACUCUGCACUCCCAAAGCUGGGGGCCAGGGUUCAACUCCCCGUCAGGGAA
rnacentral:tRNA from 1 species